GGUCACAACGAAGAACUUUCUCGAAAUCGAAAUAGUUCUGUUUCACUAUGCUACUCUCGAAUGGUGGUACGAGGCUAGGGAAUAUACUCCUUUCAAAGGAUCAAAAGGUAAGCGGCUUCGGUCAGAGGGUAUAAUCGAUUGAGUCCGGAAAGGUCCUUCGAAGGGACAUCCAAUGGUUCGUGCGGAUCGUGAGUCAAAGUGAAAUUUUUACUUUAAUGAGGGUAUAUUCCUUUGUAAGAAAGAAGAUUUCUUCGCGGAAUCUUUUUUGAUUACAUCUUGUUCCACCCUCAGAAGAAUUCAAAGCAGUCGAAAAGGGAAAAUGGAGAUCAAUCCUAACGUUAACAGUGUUCUUGGAUAUCGAACUAAUGUUAAUUUGGAUAGCAUUUAGUUAGAAAGUUAUAUAUACCGUAAUAAUAUUUAUUUCAAUGCCAUGAGUGAGAUUAGGAACGGCAAAGAAAAUAUUAAGGCGACUUAUUCCAAAAAAUAUUUGCGAAUCCAUGUCGAAGAUGAAGAAGAAGAAAAAGGUGAUACAGGGGAUGAAGAAGUCGAAGGGAGCGAUCGAUAAAGUUGAAGCAAAAGACCAUGUUGCAAUACGCAGAUAUCCAAAGUCGAUUAUACCAUAUGAUAAUUAAAAAGGGAAAAAUAUUCAUCGAGAAAUCAAUUUCCCCUUAAUCCAUGUCCCACUAGGCUCUUUCGGCUCGUUAGAUCGCGUAAUAGUAAAUUUUAAUCGACUUACAUAAAUCGUGUUCAAAUGAAAUACGUAAAAGAGAAAAAGAUAAUAUUACGAAAAAAAAAUUGUCUUCUCUGAAUACAAUCUUCAUUACAACGUCAUAAAAAAAGAGAGAUAUGUAAAAAAAGAGAGUGUUAACUUAAGUAAUAGAAGAAGAAUAGAAAAUAAUAUUACGAAAAAAAUUGUCAAACAAUAUUUUUUACUCAAAAUUAAUUUUUAUUGAUAUAUACUUUUAACGUCAAGAACAGGAAGAAAUUUUCAAAAUUCUUUAGUUAACUUCUAAUUUCAGACUGUGAAAAGUAGGAACGAAAGAAGAACAUAGAAAAAAAGAAUAAUUAUUCAUCGAAUCAAUAAAUAUCAAUAGAGAAAUUCAUUUCCUCAGAGCUUAUGACCUUUUCGGUUCUUUCAAUCGUAUGAUAGAAAAUAUUGAUUAACCUACAUAAAACCCUGUGCAGAGGGUUCCCUCCUGGUCGUUAGGUAAACUACCCAAAGCGAUUUGUGGGGUAUGAAUUGCCUGUAAGAAUAUGGCGAUAAAGCUGUGCGUCAUUCCUUCGGAAUUUGUCGAACUAGAAAUACGUGAGCGAGUGUCGUACAAGAAAUAUUUGUUACGUGUGUACUUCAUACGUUCCAAAGGGUAGUUUUACAAGGAGUUCAAGCGGUGGAAACAAUUUCUUCGUUUUCACUAGUCUUGUGUUUCUGUUAUCAAUAGAUAUACUAAAGGAAACGAAGGCGGAGGCAGGAAAAGUUCCAAUAGCCUGCAAGUAUUACAAAGGCCCGAGUUGACUGAUAUUUGAAUUAUAAUUCCAAAGAAGAUAUAUGAAAUUUCACUAUCUCGUGUUAAUGAAGUAUUCUAUAUCCGAAGUGAAACAUAUUUACUUUGGCCUGUUCUUCCUUAUAUCCGGCGAUAAAUCCUACAUGGAUAGUACAAAUGCAAUCAACCAGAUUAUGAUAUGAAAAGUUCCUUUUUCUUCUUAUAUUUAAGUGGAAGAUCAGUGAAUGGUUUGUUUAUCGAAUUUUAGAGAUACGAUUUUAUGAUAGCGACGAUAAUAUUUCUAUUAAUGAGUUGGACAUUAAGUCACUUAACUCUAGCUGUCAUAUAUGUAUUAUAUUAAUGUGUAUAAUUCAAGAACCCAUAUAUUUUUCACCUUUGUAAAGAAGAAUAUUUGAUAUGGGAAGCAAGAUGUUCGAUGAAAGAGAGGAGAUCGUAAAAGGGGCGGAGGUAGCUGACUCUGCUCACGAAUUUAUUAAAAAACUUGUAAAUGAUAUGGAACCCAAGUUGAUGAGAGAGGCACCAAAUUAUCCGACGUAUAGAAGUAAACAUGUUGCUACUGGUAGAGCAUUACUCUAGCAACCAUCGACAUCAAUAUUGAAUUUUAAUAAACGAGAGCGCAUUGGAUCGUGAAAUUAGAAGAGCGGUUCAAGAUGCAGAUAGAAUUUUAACCAAGGAAGGAACAUCGUUAGCGAUAGUUCAUAUAUGCAUUAUGUGAUUGGGAAUACCUAGGAAGAAGAAAAAGAAGAAAAAACAUUUGUGCUUGACGACGAAGUUUGGAAAGACCAUUAGGGCGUUAGUUUAUAAAGCGUCGGAAGGUAGUACGAGGAAAUGGGAGGGAUUUACUUCUCCCAAAGGAUCCAAACGGAUCGUACGAUGUUCCAUGCGGGUCAUGGAUCGAAGGGGAAUGGAAAUGAAACUGAGGGAGGUUUAUCAUACAAAAUAAUUCAACAUACAGGGACGAAUAAAAGAUUCAACAUUUUUGGAAAUAAUAACGAUAGCAGGAGUAUACUUUUAAAUUAUACGUGAAAUAAAAAGUCCACGUUCGCAUCAUCGUUAUUCCAUCGAUUUAAAUUAAGUAACAGUUCGCUACAAUUAAAAAAGGAGAAAUGUUGAAUCCCAUAUUUCAAAUUGUUUGUCAUCAUAUUCACGACAUGUAGUUAAAAAAUAUUCGUAAUAUUUUAUUAGCGUUUUUCAUAAAUAUUAUAUAUAUACACACGGUGAGAUGAACGUACCCCGAAUAUUUAACGCAAAAUUUAUGUUUUCCCGAGCUAACAGCACAAUUUCAAUAGGAAACAUCAGUGAAACACGGAUUUCCCAAACAGUAGCAGUGCAAACACUCGAUCCGCCCAAAUCACUCACUAACUGUGUGGUUCUCUCGAAGAGGAAAUACGUGAAACAGACGAUAGUGAGAUGGGGAAAUAAAGAAAUAUGAGAAGAGAUUUUCUCCGAAUACAUUUUUUCUAUUAUCGUGCAAUAAUGGAAAUGAAUUCUAGGAUAACUUAAGCAACAUAUAUAUGUUUACAAGAUAAGAAGGCGAUAUUUGAAGGAAAUGUUUUUAAGGAAAAUGGAAGUAGAUGUAACUUCCUACGAAAAAAUUGUUUUACAACACAAUAUUUUACAAUACGAAGUACAUAGUUCGAAAAUUGUAAUAUCAGUAAUACCAAAUAAUAUUAGAACACUAUUUUUGAGUACAACUUGAACUUACGAAAGAUGAUACAUUACAUAUUUCGUAUAUGAUAUUACGAUUACUUUCUAAAAAUUAAUGUUGAUAAUUACAAUAAUUAUUAUUUUUGAUAUUAUUAUUAAAAUAAUUUGAAAUUAUUAAUACAGAAAUCGUUAAUAAUAAUUAAUUAUAUUAUAAAUAAUUACAGUUUUAUGUGCAUAUUGCAAUUAAAAAAGAGAAAAAUAACUGUCAAUUUCGUAAGAAGAUUCCAAGUUUUAUGACAUAAUUUUUCAAGUGCAUAAAGGAAAUAAAAAUAUAACAACAUAGUUACAGGAGAGGGGAAAUUUUUCAUCCCCAAACUAGAAAAUUAAAAUCUAGGAAUCUUGGUCUUCUAACGAGAUGACGUGGGAUUAAUUUAACCAGGGGAAGUCAUUCCUUCCGUGAUUUUCGACCCAGUAAUACGCAAGUAUAUGUUAUACGCGAAAUAAUCCCUAGCUCUCAUACGUCCGAAAGACGAGCUUUAUAAGUAAUAAAAACCAUUGAAACACCAUUAUCACUAGUCAUUCUAUUAUUGUAUCAAUAUACUUUAAAUUCAGCAGUAGCCAUUUGUAUAAGAUUUAUUAGAAAAUUUCAUUGCUAUAUUAUAGAAGUUACCGGAUAAGUACUCCACUUUGGGUUUCCUACCAUUUGGAAUAUUGGUGAUAAGUUCACUUAUAAAUAAAAAUACUUUCUUCGGCUGCAUAUAAUCUACGAAAAUAUUAAUAAAUUAUUAUAAGAUAUAUAGAUAUGAUAUAGAUUUCAUAUUCCACAUUACAUUUUAGAAUAAAAAAUAUAUCUUAUCUCUAAAAUAUCUUACCAUUCAAUAAAUACAGCAUUGAUUGAUUUUACAUUUAAACAUAAAUGUAAAAAGGAAAAUGUUUUCGUAAAUUAAUCUCGUUGAUGGUCUGGCUUGAUUUGAAUUAUCCAUAUAGAGCGUAUCGUCGGAUGUACGGAAGAACAGAAAGUGUCAAUGCAAAUGUGUUUCACUUUGGAUGUGCAAUGGUGGAGCGUAGUUGAACUUUUCGUAUCUACUUUGGAAUUGCAAUUCAAAUAUAAGUGAAUUCGGCUCCUUUGCAAUACAUUGAGACUAUUGGAACUGCUUUCGUCUUCGGUUGGUUUAAUAUAUCUCUGAAACAAAAUAAGAUUCGUAGAUUAGUUAAGACUUACGGAAGCCAUUCAAUUGUUCAUCUAAUUGUAUUGUUUAGGAAAAUAAAUGUUGUUACAGCCAUUUAAGUGAUAUAAAGUAACUUUUCCGAAAGGCAACAAACAAUAAUUUAGAUAUUAUUAAUCACGAAAAUCAAUUUCAUUUCCAUAAUACAAAAUUGAAAUUUUAUAAUAAAUCACGAAGUAAUCAUUACUAACAAAUUUACCUUAUAUUGAUAGCUUAAACAAAUGACUAGUAAGAAUGAAGAAAUUGCUUCAACCGCCUGAAUUACUUAUAUAACUGAUCCCUGGGACGUAUGAAGUAUGCACGAACGAAUAUUUGUUGUACCACACUCGCUGGCGUAUUACUAGUUCGACAAGCACCGAAGGAAUGAGAUGAACAUGAAUGAACAGAUUCAUCGCCGUCCGCCGAACGGCGGUAUUAUACCCCGCCCAGUCCCUUGAUUUGCUGAUCGAUCGAACACUAUGGCGCCCUCUGCACAGGAUUAUUACACUUGACGUAGAUUAAUAAAUAUAUCCAAAGAACCAAGAUGGUCAUACGCUACCAGGAAAUGAAUUUCUUUCGUAUCUUUUUUCCCCUCCUUCUCUUUACAAUUUCAAAUUAGAAAUUAAUUACAGAAUUCUGAAAAUUGACUAAUAUGUUUCUGCCUGUAUUUGUCGUUAAAAAGAUUUAUCUUUAAGUGUUAAUUUCGAGCAAACAAUAUUGAUGGACAAUUUUUUUUGUAAUUUUACUUUCUGUUCUUUUUCUAUUAUUUAAGAUAACCAUCACUUUCUUACACAUCUGUCUUUUUUUAUAACGCAAUAGGAAAGAAUAUGGAUUACGAGAAAAUCAUUUGUCACUUUUCUUUCCUAAUAUCAACUUCAUCUCUUUUACGUAUUUUAUUUGGACACCAUUUACGUAAGACAAUCAAAAUUUCCUAUUACGCGAUUGAACGACUCGGAAAGGCAUAAUUGGAUUUGGAAAUGAAUUUCUUGAUGAAUAUUAAUGUAACGAUAGAUAGAUUUAUUGCAGGGUCAUCCGGCGUUGCAUGCGGAACAUGGAUCAAAAAAACUUGAAAUGCACGUGAGUGAGGUAUAUUUUGCAAAAUGAUUCAACACGUAAGGACGAUCAAUAGCUUCGCCGUUGUUCGGGAUAUUAGUUUUAGCCAGGGAAUACUUUUAAAUUAUGCGUCGAAUAUUCAAUGUACGUUCGCGUGACCAUGUCAAAGUUAUACCAGUUUUAAUAAUUUUUUAGUAUAAUUCAAGAGAGAAGAAACGUUAAAAUCAUGGUUCCAAAUUGGUUAUCACAAUAUUCACGACACGGACUUAAAUAAUAUUCAUAAUAUUUAAUAUACAUCUUUAGUAAUAUAGGGAUUUGGACCAAUUAAUUUGCUGCAUAGCACGAAUUCUCAUGUUAAUGAAUGUUUCGAGGUAUAAUGAUUUGCAGGUGCAUGAUACGUUCUCCCAUACUUAUCGUCAAAUACCUUCAUACUGAAUCUAUUAUUAUUAUCUCUCUCCAAAGACCUAUAUUGAAAUGUGAUUUAUACGAAUUAUUUAUUUAUUAUCCGUUUUCAGGAGAAUUAAUAAUGUGAAUUGAAAUUAUAGAAACAUUCUCUUAUAUAGUAUCAUAUAAGAAUAUAUGUACUUAAUUUUAAUUUUUCUUGAAUUACUUUAAAUUUAUUUUUUAAUCUUCUCCUUAUUAAUAAAUUUAAACAAAAAAUCGUUAAAAAAAGAGGGACGAAACAUUUAUCUGCAGCCGAGUUUACACAUAUCCAUACAAGGCAAAUAUAUGAAAAUAUGAAAUCGAUAUCGGAUGGUACACUUUUCAGAUGUAUAUUCCUCCGCUUUUUUUCUUAAUAUCUUCUUUUUUUUAUAUAAAUUUUUGGUUUGAUUACAUUUUAUCUUUUAAUUUGCUUUAUUAUUAUAUUUUAAAUCAUAUGCCUGAUAAUUCACAAAUAGAUAUAGAUACUUCAUCAAUAUGUGGACGAAUAUAUAAAUAAAUAAGAAAAUAAAUGUUAUUAGAUUUUAGUACAUAGUGAUAUAUAUAUAUAUAUAUAUAUAUAUAUAUAUAUAUAUAUAUAUAUAUAUGUAUAUAGAGAUGGUAUAUGUAAAAAUAAAGAAGAUUCCUUUUAUUAACGUAACAUAUACAAGAAAAAAUAUAUAAGUUUAUCGCUAAAGUAAUUUUAAACAAAAUGUAAUGAACUUACGAAGGAGUAGUGAAAUUAGUUUUAUUUCAGUCCGUUAAUAAUUAUGUCCUAUAAGACUGGAUGAAUAGAAACAAUUAGCCCUAACUAAUGCAUUGAGAUUGAUAGAUCGGAAUAAAAAAAAUUCAAAUAUGAUUUAUGUUAUCGACAGCAUGUUGUAAAAAAUGAUAUAGAUGAUAUAUCCCAAUAUCGUAGGUUUUAAACUUAUAUUUUAUUCUGGAUCUCCUCCUUCUUGAUCUCUCAGAAACUUGCUUAGACGAAUUGAUUUAUAAUAAACAGCUUCUACUGCCAUUGAAAAAUGUCAUAACUUCAAGUAUCGAAUCACCAUGGUUUUUCUUCUCCACCAUUUAUUUUGGUUCCAACUAUUCUUCAUAAAUUGAUAAGAUAUGUCAUCUCCCAUAACUUUAUCACUAUGUUACCAAUAAUUUUGGAUCGAUCUUACCGUAAAGGGAAUGUUUCUGUUUGCUUCUAUCUUUCUUUAUUCCUUUUGAAUGUUUUUUUUCCAUUUAAUUCCUCUAUUCUUCAUUCUCCAUACACUUAUCUUUUCGAACAUUUCACAUUGUAAAAAUCGAAUUGUGUUAAUCUUAUUUCCGAGGAGGAAAUUUUCUUUAGCAUUCAAUUAAACAUAUUUAUUUAUUUUCUUCGACGACCUUAUCAAGAACCAUUCAUGACCUUAAUAAGAAAGUAGAACUCAAAAUACUGUAUUUAAAAGGAAUGGCAAUCUCAUGCAAAAGCUGCUUUUCUACGAUAUUUAUAAAUUAUAUUUUGCGCAAUACGGAUCGGUUCAUGGAAUAACGAUGAAUAGAAAGAAGUAUUACAGAUCUUUACUAUUCUCGGGGAAGUAUAAUAUAAAUGAUUAUUAUAAGUAGGCUUAUUGAGAUAUUUAACCAUUCGAGUAAAAUAUUAGAAAAAUACUAAGUAAAUAAGAAAUAUUAUAUUACUAGAAAUAUAAUGAUUUCGUUGCUAUACUCGGUUAUAGGUAAGGAGAAAGGAACGAAUCCAGAAAGAUAAUAUUUUCCGUGGAACUAUUUAGUUUGGAACAUAAUAUACGAAGUAUGUGAUAUAACGAAGCAUAAUUGGAUCAUUCCUUGAAAUUUUCCAGUGGGAAAUACAUUUUUCGGAAAAAGUAUUCGUUCGUAUGAAAGAACUAAAUUAGUCGUUAUUCAUCGAUCUGCAAACUAAUUAAUACUGCUAAAGGGGUAAUUGAAUUACACUGAUAAUACAAUGCUAUUAUCGAAUUGUUUGCUUCCUUUGAUGAGAGGAAAACAAAUGAAAAAAUACAUUCCUUCUUAUCCAAAUAAUGGAGGAGAUAUACGAACGCACGCUCCCAGUUCGCGCACGUAUUCCCGCCCACAUGGACUAGUGCGCAUGAGUGAACACAAGAGCACUGGUGCAUGAAGAGGGGUAAUAACAAAUCGUUUAAGCCGAAGGUACUUAACGCGUUGCAUACUUCUGAAGAUGGAACAAGUUGGAAUGAAAGAGGAUUCCGGAAUGAAAUCUUCUUUUCUACGCAGGAAUAUUUCCCCAAUAGAGAAAACAUUCACCUUUGAUCCACUAUCUGCGUGUACCGUCGGACAUCUCAUGGACAAACUUUCUGAACGCAAUCGAUUAUAUCCUCUUACCGAAGCAGCUUAACCUCGGAUCCUUUGCAGCGAGAUAUUUCCUAGCCUCCUACCACCGUUCGAACGUAGCUUUAUGAAACAAUACAACAUGGGAAUCGGGACGGUUCGUCGUCAUGACCAUUAAAAAUGUUUUCUUCCUAUAUCUCUUUCUGGUUAUUAUCGAUUACCUAACGAGCACGGUAUAAAAGAAGGUAUUAGGAAUAAUAAAAUAUCUCCGACCUAUCUCUAAUUCAUUGUGUGCUCUACAUGCAUGAGAUAUAUGGAUAUGUAUUUUUUUCCCCACUUUUUAAAAUUGGGCCUAUAAUGUGAAGUAUCCAGCACUGUCGAUGAAAUGUAACGAAAAACUGAAAAUUUCAAAGGACGAUUAGAUACUUCUCAUGCUGAUCACUUCGCCGAUUAUACAAAUUUUUAUUAUGGAAAAAAGAAAUCGGAAAAAACUAUUGUUUGCAUAAAUAACAUUUUCGGCCGACGUUUGACAGAUGGAAAUUACAAAUUUGGUUAAUAUUAACUCUUAAUACGGUGCGAUGAAUUAAUCGAAGCAGAAGCGUUUAUCACAAUAUACAGUAGUGUAAAGUGGAUCAUUAGAUAUGGGAGUCAAUAGGAAAUGGGAACAGUCAGUCGAAUUGAAACAGAUUGGUCCACAAACCUGUCUCCCCCCACACCAAUCUCUUGAGGAACGUUUGACCGCGGAAUAAGGAGUUUUGAUUGACUGGCCUAAAACGCAUCCCAAGAAUAACGCGAAAAGAAACAUAAAUAUAAUCAAUGUUUUUAUGUAAAUCUAUAUUCUUUUUCACUAUGUAAUAAAGAAAGAGAGAAGCUUGUUAACUUGAAUAAUACAAAUAAAACAGAAGAUAAUA